CCUACGGGAGGCAGCAGUGGGGAAUAUUGGGCAAUGGAGGCAACUCUGACCCAGCAACGCCGCGUGAAUGAUGAAGGUCUUCGGAUUGUAAAGUUCUUUUGUCAAGGGACAAAAUUAGGCUCGAGAGCCUGACCGAGGGUACUUGAAGAAAAAGCAUCGGCUAACCCCGUGCCAGCAGCCGCGGUAAUACGGAGGAUGCGAGCGUUAUCGGGAUUUGUGGGGUUUAAGGGGUGCGUAGGCGGACUGUUAAGGCAGCGGUAAAAGCCCGGGGGUCAACCCCGGCGAGCCGUUGAAACUGGCUGUCUUGAGAUGUCGAGAGGUAUGCGGAAUGCGCAGUGGAGCGGUGAAAUGCUUAGAGAUUGCGCAGAACUCCGAUUGCGAAGGCAGCAUCCCGGCGGCGAUCUGACGCUGAGGCACGAAAGCGUGGGUAUCGAACAGGAUUAGAUACCCGAGUAGUC
rnacentral:rRNA from 1 species